AACAACAUUAAUGAGAGAUUAAAAUUUACAAGUUAACCUCGUACCAAAUGCCCCCUUAUGGUAAUACCAUAUGUGGUCAUCACACUUAGCAGGAAGUUGAUUUUCUUUUAGAUUAUAUAUACCUGUAAACAAAGAAGUCUAAUUUGCCUUGUGUUUGCUGUAUUACUAAAUCUUUGUAGUAAAGAAAGGAAAAAAGGUUGUAGGACUAGGCCAUAGCAUAUUGCUACAGUCCUUGGAUGCAUAAAGAUUGGUAUGAAGUGAUGAACAUUUAGGACAUGUUGGACAAUCGAAGAGAGGGUAUUGUGAUGUAGAUAGAUAGGAUCUAGUAGUGUCUUGCUCCAGGCAUUUCAGGCAAGCUCAGAUAUGAAUAGCUCUUGUGCUUUGGAGAGAUUGUAGAAGGAUAUAUUUCUGAUCAUAUUAAUUUUUGCACCUUUUCAGUUGCAACUACUGUUCCCCUAAAGAUUCUACUUGUGUAAAGAGGUUUUAAAAAAAAAAUGGAAAGAAUGUAUAGUAGUGUUGGAAUUUGUUGCUCAUAACGGAUGCAUGAAAUGAAAUUGAUAAUCCUUUCUUUUUUCUGUUUGAUUUCAUCCAUUAGGCUCAGAGAAGUUAAAGGAGUGGGUGUCACUUGAAGAGGAAGGAGAUGAGGCACCCAAAAUACGUGUUGCCCGUCCUAAUACUGCCUUGCCAUUUGAAGGAACAAGGAAGAGGAGGAGAGCUGCCAUCAUGGACUAUAAUUGGUCUGUUGGUGAUAGAGUUGAUGCAUGGA
rnacentral:misc_RNA from 1 species